AAACUGUGACGUUCAUAUGUUUAAUUCUUAUGCCAAACUUGUUUUCUGAUGAAGACAGCAUUGUGCUUUAUGCAAGAAUGGAAACUUCAAAAUAAUCACCAUAAAGCUUCUAAGACUUAUGGGAGAAUAAACUAGGAUGGUCCACAGAUAUAAGAUGAAAUCCACAAUGUUGGAAUAAUAAAUGUUUAGAGCGGCCCAGACUAGAAGACAAGCCCAAACCACCAUUAGAAGAAUGAAAUACGAUAUGGUCCAAGAUGUAUCCUUAAAGUUUU
rnacentral:lncRNA from 1 species